rnacentral:rRNA from 1 species
UAAUACGGAGGGUGCAAGCGUUAUCCGGAUUCACUGGGUUUAAAGGGUGCGUAGGUGGGCAGGUAAGUCAGUGGUGAAAUCUCCGGGCUUAACCCGGAAACUGCCGUUGAUACUAUCUGUCUUGAAUGUAGUGGAGGUGAGCGGAAUAUGUCAUGUAGCGGUGAAAUGCUUAGAUAUGACAUAGAACACCCAUUGCGAAGGCAGCUCGCUACACUAUUAUUGACACUGAGGCACGAAAGCGUGGGGAUCAAACAGGAUUAGAUACCCUGGUAGUCCACGCCCUAAACGAUGGAUACUCGACAUCAGCGAUACACAGUUGGUGUCUGAGCGAAAGCAUUAAGUAUCCCACCUGGGAAGUACGACCGCAAGGUU